rnacentral:rRNA from 1 species
ACGGCUCAGUAACACGUGGCUAAUCUGCCCUUGGGACCGGAACACCCCCGGGAAACUGGGGCUAAUUCUCGAUAGGUGAAGAACUCUGGAAUGAGUCUUUGCCAAAAAGACGUUUACGUUAUGCUCGUAGACGUCGCCCAAGGAUGAGGCCGCGACCGAUCAGGUUGUUGGUGAGGUAAUGGCUCACCAAGCCUUUUACCGGUGCGGGCCGUGAGAGCGGGAGCCCGGAGAUGGGCACUGAGACAAGGGCCCAGGCCCUACGGGGCGCAGCAGUCGCGAAAACUUUGCAAUACACGAAAGUGUGACAGGGCUAUCCCGAGUGCCAUCCGCUGAGGAAGGCUUUUACCCAGUCUAGAACGCUGGGGGAAUAAGGAGAGGGCAAGUCUGGUGUCAGCCGCCGCGGUAAUACCAGCUCUCCGAGUGGUGUGGAUGUUUAUUGGGCCUAAAGCAUCCGUAGCUGGCUGAGUUAGUCCCUUGUUAAAUCCACCGAAUUAAUCGUUGGAUUGCGGGGGAUACUGCUCGGCUAGGGGACGAGAGAGGCAGACGGUAUUUCCGGGGUAGGGGUGAAAUCCUAUAAUCCCGGGAAGACCACCAGUGGCGAAGGCUGUCUGCUAGAACGCGCCCGACGGUGAGGGAUGAAAGCUGGGGGAGCGAACCGGAUUAGAUACCCGGGUAGUCCCAGCUGUAAACGAUGCAGGCUAGGUGUUUGGACGGCCACGUGCCGUUCUAGUGCCGCAGGGAAGCUGUUAAGCCUGCCGCCUGGGGAGUACGAUCGCAAGAUUGAAACUUAAAGGAAUUGGCGGGGG